rnacentral:tRNA from 2 species
CGGUGCGUAGCGCAGCUUGGUAGCGCACUAGUCUGGGGGACUAGGGGUCGUAGGUUCAAAUCCUGCCGCACCGACCA